rnacentral:rRNA from 1 species
AUUGAACGCUAGCGGGAUGCCUUACACAUGCAAGUCGAACGGAGUGGCGAACGGGUAAGUAAUGUAUCUGAACGUGCCCAGUAGCGGGGGAUAACUACGCGAAAUCGUAGCUAAUACCGCAUACUAUUGGAGCGGCCUAUAUCGGAUUAGCUAGUUGUUGGGGUAACGGCUCACCAUGGCGACGAUCCGUAGCUGGUUUGAGAGGAUGACCAGCCACACUGGAACUGAGACACGGCCCAGACUCCUACGGGAGGCAGCAGUGGGGAAUAUUGGACAAUGGGGGAAAGCCUGAUGCAGCCAUGCCGCGUGUGCGAUGAAGGCCUUCGGGUUGUAAAGCACUUUUAGCAGGAAAGCGGUACCUGCAGAAUAAGCACCGGCUAACUACGUGCCAGCAGCCGCGGUAAUAC